rnacentral:lncRNA from 1 species
CCCCGGCCCAGACCUCGUGAUGUAACCUACAGCGGCGGCCGAGGUGCGGGGUCUUGGUCGGUUUCGUGCCGGCGGGAGGGCGAAGGGUGGGCGGGGCCUCGGUUCCCAAAUUUGCCCCAGAGCGCGGUUGACAGGGUGCAGCCGGGAGAGGCCGCGCUGGGACGGAGAUAUAGUGGAAACGUUCCUGGAUGUUCAGGGCGCGCCGUCCCACCGGCUGCUGGCCAGAGCCCCGGGAAGGCGAGGAUGCACCUUCUCCCCUGCCUUGGAAAGUCUUGUUACAGUGUAGCAGGCGAUUUCAACCGGAAGUCCAGCCCUAACCUGCCAACAGUUCCUGACCCACUGAAGUCCACUAGCCACCCGGACCUGCAGGGACCCACUCGCCGGCCUAGGCACUGGAAGGAAUCCCAAGUGCCUUGGCAUAAGGAGGACUUAAGGACAGGAGAAGGGAGCUCACCGUGCCCGCAGUGCGAGUCCCUCUCUGGACCUCAUGGGAACAUUGGAGAGGAGAUUCAGAUUAUCACCUAGUUUGUUCCAGACCCUUGAUAAACUACAUUUCCAACCUUGGAAUUUCUGGAUUUCUACUAAAUUAGGCCUUUUUUCUUGCUCACAACCAUCUUGUAGAGGUACUGUCUAGAUGGCCACUAGCCACAGAUGGUGAACAGGCCAGACGGAGGUGUGCUGUGUGACAAAGAUGACAGGCUGCCGAGAAUUAGUAUGAAAAAAAGAAUGUUAAAUGUUGCAUUUUUAGAUUAAUUACAUUAAAAAGGUAAUACUUUUGGUAUAUUGGGUUAAAUAUCUUUUUUUUUUUUUUUUUGAGACAGGGUCUCCCUGUGUAGUUCAGGCUGGCCUUGAACUCACUAUGUAGCCCAGACUGGCCCCGAACUCACAACGAUCCUCCUGCCUCAGCCUCCUGAGUGCUGAGAUUACAGGCAUGCUCCACCACACCCAGCUUUGGGUUAACUAUCUUACUAAGGCUGGGGGAUUCAGCUCAGGGGCACAGCACCUGCCUGGCAAGCUUGAGGUCCUGAGUUCAAUACCCAGUACAGAAAAAUAAAUCUUAUUGAAAUAAAUUUGAUCUAUUCCUUUUUACUUUUUUGUGGGGAAUAGGCAGGUUUAUUAGAGUUAGAAAGUAAGAGAAAAUAGAGAAGGGACUUCAGCUUGAGGGACUGAAGAAAGCAUAGCUCUGCUGAAGAGGAUCAGACUGGCCCUCCUUUUUCACUUUUAUUAGUGUGUUUAACAGAAUUUCAAUUUACAAAUUGGCUCAAAUUACAUUUUCUAUUGGCCAUUCUAAACCAACACCUAUAACUUUGUCUUUAAAAAUGAUCGCUAGUAAUACUGAGUAGUACUGUAACUUCCAGCUAUCAUCCUAACUUUUAAAAAAUAGGUAUCCCUAUUUUAUUUAAAAUUUUGGUUAUUUAUUUUAGAGAUGAGGUCUUGCCAUGUUGCAGGCUGACCCAGAACUCCUGAGCUCAGGAGUUCCUCCUGGCUCAUCCUCCAGAGUAACUGAGACUAUGGGCAUGUGCUACCCUCUCAGGCUAACUUUCCAAGCUCAAGUGAGGCCCAAACUUGGCCUCUGGAACCAUUCAGUAGAAGUAGACUUCUACCAAUAUCUACCAUCUACUGUUUUGUCUUUGACAAUAUUAAGUUUGAGCCCAAAUUAUAGGAGUAUCAUACAGAUAGAGUCAGACACUGCAUGCAUGACAGUGGUCCCAUAAGAUUAGGACAGAGCUAGAAGAUUCUUACUGCCGACUGUUGUCAUAGCCAUCCCAGUAUCAAAGCUCAGUGCAUUAUUCAUGUUUGUUGUGAUGCUGGUGUGAACAAACCUACUGCACUGCCGGUUGUAUAAAACUACAUCACAGACUCGCCCUGUGGCACCACCCUGUAAUCCCAGCUACUCAGGAGCCUGAGGCAGGAGGGUUGCAGGCUGAGACUAGGCUGGGCAACCUAGUGAGACCCUGUUUUAAACAACAAAAAUAUUCUGGUAUGUAGCUCAGUGGUUGAGUGUUUGCCUAGCAUACGCAAAGCCCUGAGUUGACUAAGUUAGGGGAAAAAAAUAAUCAAGAUUAAAAAAAAAUAAAAGGGCUACUAAUGUAGCUCAGUACCACUCCCCCAAAAAGUACAAUACAUGUAAUUAUGUACAGUACAUAAUGCUGUACUUGAUGAUGAAAUGACUGUUACUGGUUUGUAUUUACUGUAUUAUUUAUUGUCAUUUAUCUAUCUAAAGUUAACUGUCGGGCCAGGGAUUUAGCUCAGUGGCACCGAGCCUGCCUCUUAAGCUCAAGGCCCUGAGUUCUAUCCCCGGUACCAAACCAAACCAAACAAAAUAAAGUUAACUGUAAAAUAGCCUCAGGAGGUGUCCAGAAAGAGGAAUUGUGUUAGAGGAGGUGGCAGCUCCAUGCAUGUCAUUGCCCCUGAAAAUCUUCCACUGGGACGAUAUGUGGAAGUGAAAGACAGUGAUAGUGACGAUCUUCACCCUGUGCAGGCCUAGGAUAAUGUGUGUGUUUGUGGCUUAGCUUUUAACAGCAACCAAAAAAGCUUAAAAAGGAAGAAAAAUAUUAAAAAGCCAGGCAGGCUGGUACAUGCUUGUAAUCUCAGCAAUCUGGGAGGUUGACGCAGGAGGAUCACAAGUUCGAGCCUAGCCUGGGAAACUUGAGACUCUUGUCUCAAAAUAAAACAAUAAAAAAUAAAAAAGGGCUGGGAUGUAGCUCAGUAAGAAGGCCCAGGGUUCAAUCCCCAGUACUGGGGAAAGAAAAGAAAUUUUAUAUACUUGUACAAUGUGUUUUAAGUUAAAUGUUAUUACAAAAGAAUUAAAAAAUAAAAGUUUAUUAUCAAGUAAAACAUAGUAAGAAGCUAAAGUUAAUUUAUUCUUGAAGAAAGAAAAUUUAAAAAUAAGUAAAUGCAGUGCAGCCUAAGUGUGCAGUGUUUAUCAACUGUGGGGUCCUGGGGAGUAAUGUCCCAGGUUCCCCCUGGCUCCCUGACAGACAGCAACUCCCAAGUUCCGGUUCGGGUAAGUGCUCCAUCCAGGUGUGGCCUCUUUCCUCUUUUACACUGUAACAAGCAUUGUGUACAGUACUGCCACUUUUCUGUGUUCAGAUACACAGAUCCCAUUGUGUUACAGUUGCCCACAGUCUCCAGUAGAGAGCCAGGCAGUGCAGGUUUGUAGCCUGGGAGCAAUAAGCUAUGUCGUACAGCCGAGGUGUGUAGCGGGCUCUACCAUGUAAUAGGUAUGAGUAAGCACACUGACUCUUGCACGACAAAACCACUUAACACAUUAAACAGUGCAUAACUGUGUAGCCAAUGAAAUUAAACUUGUGGAAAUUAAACUUUCCACAUUGUGUAACUAGACAGACUGGGAAGUGCAGUCCAUUAGGAAUAACUCUGGGGAAAGGAUUUCAACCCCAAAUGAAGCCUCAACAGGUAACUUUUCACUCCGGCUUUCAGGGGACAGGAAUAUGGUGAGAAGGUGCAGUAGUGUUCUAGUGGUCUGUAACACAUACCCAAACAAACUGAAAAGGGUGACACAUUCCUUUAUACUCAAGAUGAGAAAGAUGGCAGUCCUCUAAUUGAUGCCUUUGCUCUCAAUUUUGAUAAUAAAUUCUGGUCAUCUUGUUCUGUUUCAUUGUUCUAUUAGUCAGUCUGUGUACUGAGGACCAGAUUAUUUUAAUUACUGUAAUUUGGAAUAUGUUAUAAUUGGUGGUGGGACUAGUUCUUCAUGCUCCAACAAGUCCUUUUGUCUUCCCCCACCUCUGAAAUAUUCUUGGCUUCCUUUGCUUGUUGUUUUUUUCCCAUAUGGACUUAAUAUACAUUUGUCUGAUUUUUAAUUCCAGUUAGCAUUAAGGAAAUAAUAAAGUGGGAUCCCUAAUACAUUUCACCAGGAUAAAUUCCUAAAUAAUUUUUUAAAAAAGGACAAGGUAGAGAAAAUGAAACUAUAAACAUACCAGAAGAAACCUCAGGAUUUUCUUUUUUUCCUCUUCAGUACUGGACAAUUGAUCCUUCACACUGAGUUACAUCCCCAACCUUGUUUAUUUUUUUUAAUUUAAAAAAAUUUUUAAUUUUUAAAAAAACUUUUAUUUUGAGAUAAGGUCUUGUUAAGUUGCUAAAUUGCUCAAGCUGUGUUCCAACUUGUGAUCCUUCUGCAUCAGUCUCCCAGAGUGCUGUAUCACCAAGCUGUAUCACCAAAAAUAAAAACACAGUGUGGGGAAGGUCUUUUCUAGGUAUGACACAAAACAUAAAAUUCUUAAGAUGAGAUCUUGAUAAAUUUGAUGACGUUAAAAUACAAAUGUUAUGCACUGCAAAGAUCUACCACAAAGUCAAACGAAAAUUACACAUUGACAAGUUGCACAAUAAUGUGAACGUACUUAAUGCUACUGACCUGUAUAUGUAAAAUUGGUUAAAAUGAGUCAGGUAGGUGGUGCACACCUGUAAUUCCAGCACUCUGGGAGGCUGAGGUAGGUGGAUUUCAAGUUUGAGUUCAGCCUGGGCAACUUAGUGAGACCCUGUCUCAAAAUAAAAAAUUUACAAGUAAAAAAUAAAAAAGGGGCUUGGGAUGUAGCUCAGUAUGAAGGUCUGUGGUUCAAUCCGCAGUCCAAAAAAAAAAAAAGGCCAAAAUGGUAAAAUUUAUGUUAUGCAUCUUAGCUACAAUAAAAAAAAGCGCACAAAAACUACUGGAAAAAAUUUAAAGUUCAUCCAUGUUCUGUCUAAAAAAAAAAAAAACUCACAAUGUCUUGGGUUCCAUUGUUUUUGAGACUGAUGUAGUGAUUUGAUUACAAGUUUUGGAAAUCAGGUUGUUUGCAUUUGAGACUCAUUUACUUAACUUGCUGCCUUUCACAAACUGCUUUGUCUUUUUAGGUUUCUAUUUUUUGUUCAUAUGAUGAGGAUGCUAAUAGUACUUAUAUAGGGCUGCUAAAAAUACCCAGUGGAAUGAUGUAUGUGCAGUAUUUUGCUUACUGCCUGGUGUAUAGUAAAUAACAGCCAUGAUAUAUUUGUAAACAAUAAAAUUACUAUAACUAUCCAGUUCUUAUUUUUGUCUUCUCACAGUAACCAUAGCCAGUGUUAUGUUAAUCUUAUAAAUAUAUUUUCACACUUUAAUUACUGCUAUUAUUACCUUUUAAAAAAUAAAUGUUUUUAUUUUUAAUUAAAAAUAUUUUUUGUGUUUUUAUGUUUUUGUGUUUUGUUAUCCAGCUACUUCCUUUGUAAUUCAAGUUACCCUUGAACUGCCUAAGUGGCUAGGCUGUCCUCAAACUCAUGGCAAUCUUCCUGCCUCAGCCUCCUGAGUGCUAGAAUUAUAG